rnacentral:piRNA from 1 species
UGGAAGGUUUGUACUUGAUAUGGUCCCUUC